rnacentral:lncRNA from 1 species
CUGCUUGUGAUUGAAUUAUUAUAGAUGAACAGAAUAGUAAUUGACACAAUUAGUUUAAAUAAGCAGUAUCAUAGUUUCACUUAGAGUUAGCAUAGUUUUGCUGUCGCUCUCUCAAAACUCCACAUGCAUCAUCUUCAAAUCAUCUUCAACUCCAGUACAAAUAACUGGAAAAUAAAAAAAUAAAAAAAUAAAAAAACAAGGCAACCAUACUUUAAAUAAGCAGCAAGAAUGAAGGGGCAGCAUAACACGAACCUGCAAAAUACAUAUAUGUAUAUGUGUGUGUGUAUAUAUAUAUAUAUUCCAGACAUUUUCCAGAGAUGUACAUUCAUUCGUUGUUGUAAUAUUCAACUUUUCAAAAUCCAAUUGAUAUGAAUUGCAUGUGUCCCAUGUCACUUACGCAUUGAACUAACUAAUGGUGUACAGCAGGUCACAUACCUCCAAUGGCUUGCCAUGAACGACUAAUUAUCCAAUUACAUAAGUUGAAGAGCAACUGCACCAUUGGAUGAUCAUUGGCAGUAUAUCCAUCAUUGUAUGCCAAACUCAUUUCAUUUAUUAAACCACCCAAACAGAAAUUCUCACUAAAAGGACUAAAAAUUUUUAAAAGAAUAUUCUUAGUAUUGAACCCAAGGAAUAAACAUAUUAUAAAAUGGGAUGUGUUUAUUCUGAGACUAAAAAUCUAAAGAGAUGAAGAAAAUAAAAAUUCCAAAUCUAAGAUUAAAUAAUGUUAGAUUUUCAGAGCUCUAACAUUUAAGUUAGAAAGAAUAAUAUUUAAAAAAAACAAAAAAAAGGCAACAGCAAGAGCAACAAUAGGCCGAUGUUCAAAAUUACCGUUCACUGUUGUGUUCAUUGAGUCUGUCCAACACUCUGAUAUGUGCUGGUUCUGGCCUAAUAAAAGCAAAACCUUUUUCUACACAGAUCUCAUCUCGAGGUUGGA